rnacentral:rRNA from 1 species
UACGAAGGGGGCUAGCGUUGCUCGGAAUCACUGGGCGUAUAGGGUGCGUAGGCGGGUCUUUAAGUCAGAGGUGAAAUCCUGGAGCUCAACUCCAGAACUGCCUUUGAUACUGAGGAUCUUGAGUACGGGAGAGGUGAGUGGAACUGCGAGUGUAGAGGUGAAAUUCGUAGAUAUUCGCAAGAACACCAGUGGCGAAGGCGGCUCACUGGCCCGUUACUGACGCUGAGGCACGAAAGCGUGGGGAGCAAACAGG